UAGGGAAUCUUCCACAAUGGACGCAAGUCUGAUGGAGCAACGCCGCGUGAGUGAAGAAGGUUUUCGGACCGUAAAGCUCUGUUGUUGGUGAAGAAGGAUAGAGGUAGUAACUGGCCUUUAUUUGACGGUAAUCAACCAGAAAGUCACGGCUAACUACGUGCCAGCAGCCGCGGUAAUACGUAGGUGGCAAGCGUUGUCCGGAUUUAUUGGGCGUAAAGCGAGCGCAGGCGGAAGAAUAAGUCUGAUGUGAAAGCCCUCGGCUUAACCGAGGAAUUGCAUCGGAAACUGUUUUCUUGAGUGCAGAAGAGGAGAGUAGAACUCCAUGUGUAGCGGUGGAAUGCGUAGAUAUAUGGAAGAAUACCAGUGGCGAAGGCGGCUCUCUGGUCUGCAACUGACGCUGAGGCUCGAAAGCAUGGGUAGCGAACAGGAUUAG
rnacentral:rRNA from 1 species